rnacentral:rRNA from 1 species
CCUACGGGUGGCAGCAGUAGGGAAUAUUGCUCAAUGGGGGAAACCCUGAAGCAGCAACGCCGCGUGGAGGAUGAAGGUUUUCGGAUUGUAAACUCCUUUUGUUAGAGAAGAUAAUGACGGUAUCUAACGAAUAAGCACCGGCCAACUCCGUGCCAGCAGCCGCGGUAAUACGGAGGGUGCAAGCGUUACUCGGAAUCACUGGGCGUAAAGAGCGCGUAGGCGGGAUAGCAAGUCAGAUGUGAAAUCCUAUGGCUUAACCAUAGAACUGCAUUUGAAACUGGUAUUCUAGAGUAUGGGAGAGGUAGGUGGAAUUCGUGGUGGAGGGGUGAAAUGCGUAGAGAUCAAGAGGAAUACUCAUUGCGAAGGCGACCUGCUAGAACAUAACUGACGCUGAUGCGCGAAAGCGUGGGGAGCAAACAGGAUUAGAUACCCUAGUAGUC